CCUACGGGAGGCAGCAGUGGGGAAUAUUGGACAAUGGGGGAAACCCUGAUGCAGCGACGCCGCGUGAGUGAAGAAGUAUUUCGGUAUGUAAAGCUCUAUCAGCAGGAAAGAAAAUGACGGUACCUGAUUAAGAAGCCCCGGCUAACUACGUGCCAGCAGCCGCGGUAAUACGUAGGGGGCAAGCGUUAUCCGGAUUUACUGGGUGUAAAGGGAGCGUAGACGGCAGCACAAGUCUGGAGUGAAAUGCCGGGGCUCAACCCCGGAACUGCUCUGGAAACUGUGAAGCUGGAGUGCAGGAGAGGUAAGCGGAAUUCCUGGUGUAGCGGUGAAAUGCGUAGAUAUCAGGAGGAACACCAGCGGCGAAGGCGGCUUACUGGACUGUAACUGACGUUGAGGCUCGAAGGCGUGGGGAGCAAACAGGAUUAGAUACCCGGGUAGUC
rnacentral:rRNA from 1 species